GAUGAACGCUGGCGGCGUGCCUAAUACAUGCAAGUCGAGCGAACAGACGAGGAGCUUACUCCUCUGACGUUAGCGGCGGACGGGUGAGUAACACGUGGAUAACCUACCUAUAAGACUGGGAUAACUUCGGGAAACCGGAGCUAAUACCGGAUAACAUGUUGAACCGCAUGGUUCAACAGUGAAAGACGGUCUUGCUGUCACUUAUAGAUGGAUCCGCGUCGCAUUAGCUAGUUGGUAAGGUAACGGCUUACCAAGGCAACGAUGCGUAGCCGACCUGAGAGGGUGAUCGGCCACACUGGAACUGAGACACGGUCCAGACUCCUACGGGAGGCAGCAGUAGGGAAUCUUCCGCAAUGGGCGAAAGCCUGACGGAGCAACGCCGCGUGAGUGAAGAAGGUCUGCGGAUCGUAAAACUCUGUUAUUAGGGAAGAACAAAUGUGUAAGUAACUAUGCACGUCUUGACGGUACCUAAGCAGAAAGCCACGGCUAACUACGU
rnacentral:rRNA from 1 species